rnacentral:misc_RNA from 1 species
UUUCCGUAGGUGAACCUGCGGAAGGAUCAUUCAUAAUAAAGUGUUUUAUGGCACUUUUUAAAAAUCCAUAUCCACCUUGUGUGCAAUGUUAGAUCUCGUCAAUCUUGGCGAGAUUUUUAUACAUCAACUCAUUCUUUAACUAAUUUGUCUGAAAAAUAUUAUGAAUACUUAAUACAAAAUACAACUUUCAACAACGGAUCUCUUGGCUCUC